GAUGAACGCUGGCGGCGUGCCUAACACAUGCAAGUCGAACGAAGCUUGACGGAUGAUUUCUUCGGAAUGAAACCAGAUAUGACUUAGUGGCGGACGGGUGAGUAACACGUGAGCAACCUGCCUUUCAGAGGGGGAUAACGGCUGGAAACGGUCGCUAAUACCGCAUGAUGUGUUCGGAUGGCAUCAUCUGAACAUCAAAGAUUUAUCGCUGAAAGAUGGGCUCGCGUCUGAUUAGAUAGUUUGUGGGGUAACGGCCUACCAAGUCUACGAGCAGUAGCCGGACUGAGGGGUUGCACGGCCACAUUGGGACUGAGAUACGGCACAGACUCCUACGGGAGGCAGCAGUGGAGAAUAUUGCAACAUGGGGGAAACCCUGAUGCAGCAACGCCGCGUGAAGGAUGACGGUUUUCGGAUUGUAAACUUCUUUUCUUAGUGACGAAGACAGUGACGGUAGCUAAGAAAUAAGCAUCGGCUAACUACGUG
rnacentral:rRNA from 1 species